rnacentral:rRNA from 1 species
CGCUGGCGGCGUGCUUAACACAUGCAAGUCGAACGAAUACUUAAAAGAAGUCUUCGGAUGGAAAAUAAAGUAGUUAGUGGCGGACGGGUGAGUAACGCGUGGGAAACCUGCCCUAUACAGGGGGAUAGCCUCGGGAAACCGGGAUUAAUACCCCAUAAAGCUCUAGAAUCGCAUGAUUCAAGAGUCAAAACUCCGGUGGUAUAGGAUGGUCCCGCGUCCCAUUAGCUAGUUGGUGAGGUAACGGCCCACCAAGGCGACGAUGGGUAGCCGGCCUGAGAGGGUGAACGGCCACACUGGAACUGAGACACGGUCCAGACUCCUACGGGAGGCAGCAGUGGGGAAUAUUGCACAAAGUGGGGGAAACCCUGAUGCAGCGACGCCGCGUGAGCGAAGAAGGCCUUCGGGUCGUAAAGCUCUGUCCUAAGGGAAGAAAAGACGGUACCUUAGGAGGAAGCCCCGGCUAACUACGUGCCAGCCGCAGC